AAGAGACGUUGCCCUUCGGGGUAUACCUCCCACCCUUUGUUUAUUAUACCUUUGUUGCUUUGGCGGGCCCGUCCUCGGACCACCGGCUUCUGCUGGUCAGUGCCCGCCAGAGGACCUAAAACUCUGUUUGUUUAAUAUUGUCUGAGUACUAUAUAAUAGUUA
rnacentral:misc_RNA from 1 species